UCUUGUUUCUAUUGGUCCUCUCUCUCUCUCUCUCUUCGUCGGGUUUUUUUGUGUGAGAAAUGUCGUCGUCUCUCCUUCUCCAAAUCCAUCCAUGAAAUCACCUUGAAGAAUCAAAGCACGAAGAUGUUUCAAGGUAGAGACAAUAUGUGACUUCAAUGAAGAAAAUGGAUUACUUUCUGCUUCUGGGUAUCAUCAUUCUCCUCUUCCUCUCUGGGUCUGUAGCUUCAGCUCCUUCGUCAACUUCACCAGCGAUGCUCCUACUAUCUCGGACUCGGAGAGAUGUCUCGCCGCAAUUUCACAACAAUCACUGAGUCCGGCGCUA